AUUGAACGCUGGCGGCAGGCCUAACACAUGCAAGUCGAGCGAGAGGCGGACGGGUGAGAAAAGUCUGGGAAACUGCCUGAUGGAGGGGGAUAACUACUGGAAACGGGAUCUAAUACCGCAUACCCUCAGAUGUGCCCAGAUGGGAUUAGCUAGUAGGUGGGGUAACGGCUCACCUAGGCGACGAUACCUAGCUGGUCUGAGAGGAUGACCAGCCACACUGGAACUGAGACACGGUCCAGACUCCUACGGGAGGCAGCAGUGGGGAAUAUUGCACAAUGGGCGCAAGCCUGAUGCAGCCAUGCCGCGUGUGUGAAGAAGGCCUUCGGGUUGUAAAGCACUUUCAGCGGGGAGGCGUUACCCGCAGAAGAAGCACCGGCUAACGCCGUGCCAGCAGCCGCGGUAAUUC
rnacentral:rRNA from 1 species